rnacentral:lncRNA from 1 species
GGAAGUAUGUUGUACAAUUUAACAACAUCUAGAGAAAUUUGGGGUUCUUGUGGGGUAGACUCACACUACAUCUUUUCCUCACUAUAGAGACACUCAGAAGAUGCUGGGACAGAGCAGAAUCCCAGGUUGGCCUGGACUCUCUAGCAGCCAGACUAUCUAGAAGAGUGCCUUCUUCUGAUUUAUGUGUGAAAUCUUUGCCACAUAAAUUUCUCUUGAGAACGCUCAUUGCUAAUGGGGUCCAUAACCAAGGUUACCAUGGAAGUGUUGGGGAGCAAUGGGAAGGCAGGAGCACCAUUUGGCCUGGCCUCUUCAAGAUUCUGACUGAGGAGAUGGGCAUGGGGGCACUGAGAGCCUAGAGAUUUAACAAAGUCCCACUGCCAUUGGUUCUGCAGCUUGGCCAUCAGGAUUUUAGAAAAGCUCCUCACGUGAAAGCAGUGUGCUGCCAAGGUGGCAAACUACUGUUGACCAGCUUUAUCGCUUUGGUCUACCUUUACUUUCCCACAGAUCUGGAUCGCUCUUCUGUAUCAUCCUCAUUAAACCACACCCUACAAUUUCUGCAAGCUCUGCUCACAAGAUGACUUCCUUUUCCAAGAUACCUUCCUUCCCUAAGCAACUCAGCUUACAAUAAUCUUCCUUUGGUUUACUAUAGCACAGAAGUGUCCAAUUUACACUACAGUAUCGCCUGAUUAUUUACAGACCG